GAUGAACGCUAGCGGCAGGCCUAACACAUGCAAGGUCGAGGGGCAUCGCGGUGCAGCAAUGCACUGGCAGCGACCGGCGUACGGGUGCGUAACGCGUAUGCAACCUGCCCCGCACCGGGGGAUAGCCCGCCGAAAGGCGGAUUAAUACCCCAUGGUCCCGGGGGCCCGCAUGGGCAUCCGGGUAAAGCCUUGGCGGUGCGGGAUGGGCAUGCGUGCCAUUAGCUGGCUGGUGGGGUAACGGCCCACCAGGGCAACGAUGGCUAGGGGGUCUGAGAGGAUGGUCCCCCACACUGGUACUGAGACACGGACCAGACUCCUACGGGAGGCAGCAGUGAGGAAUAUUGGUCAAUGGGCGGAAGCCUGAACCAGCCAUGCCGCGUGCGGGAUGAAGGCCCUACGGGUUGUAAACCGCUUUUCCCCGGGAAGAAUAACCCCGAUGAGUCGGGUGAUGCCGGUACCGGGGGAAUAAGGAUCGGCUAACUCCGUG
rnacentral:rRNA from 1 species